CUAAUGACUAUAAAUCAGACGGAUGAUGAAAAAGUCCUGAUGUUCAGGAGACAGCUGAGAAGACACAUAUCCACCAGACAGAAGUAUUUUGAAGUAUAUAAUUUUUCCAGAUCCUAGGGAAUCUGGGAUAUAUUUAAUUAACUAUUUCUGAUCCGUUAUCUAAGUGUUUUAUUUAUUUCUAUGUAGAAAAUGAACUGAAAUGGGGGCACACUAUGUUUUAUAAGAAAGUUAAAACAAUUUUAACUCAGAUAUUAGACAAAUUUGGAAAAUCAUCUAAGAAGUGAGAAAGUGAAAAUAACCAUUGGGGAUAAUUACAAUAAAG
rnacentral:antisense_RNA from 1 species